rnacentral:lncRNA from 1 species
UGGCAAGUAAACCAGGUGCUUUAAAUUCAUCACACAUCCCUCAGUCUCCACAGCUGUUAGAACAACACGGGAGUCCACACCAGGCUCUCGUUUCCUUGUGUGCCCAAGCUCCCAAGGAAACUAUGGCUGUCUUUGAGUUGGUUUCACUGGGGAAGGCUGGGCUCUCCAGUGCCAGGGUUAGAACCCAGGGUUUGCUGCUGAGGGCAACAGGCAGUGCAAUGCAGUGGGAAUCUCUGCCAUUGCUCCCAUGGGACACAGGGCAGGGCGGAGGGGACAUGAAGGCCAAGUCUGCCAACAAAGGGGUCACUCCCGUGCUCUGACGGCAGGGUGCUGUGUUCUGGGGUGGAGGUUAAAAAGGCAGUGUGUAACCUGAAGGAUUCAACAGUGUGGUUCUGGUCAGGGUCCCAGGGCUAACAAGAGGAAACAGCAUCAGACAGAAAGGUCAUAAGGAAAGAAAAGUCUACCCAGCUACUGCUCCUUUCUCUUAAAGGAAAAAGCAUAGGCAGAAGAGGAGGAGCAACCCGGGGGAAGCAGAAUUGGCAGCAGCGCUCAGGUCUAAGACCUGGGUCACACUCAAGCUCUUCCUAGCUCUUCAUUUCCUCCUGGCUUGGACUGCAACAGAAAAAGAGCUCUCCCACCCUGUGAGCUGAGAGCAAUACAGACCAUCCACAAAGUCUCCAGGCUGUAAUUCCAGAAAAGCCAUCUCAGAAACAAAA